CAGCAUCAUAAACCAGACCUGCUGAGAUAACCUUCGGUGACAGCUAUUUUCAGAUUUCUUCUUAAAAACAAAACAAAACAAAAAACCAAUUUUCUUUUUGAUUUUGUGUAGGGAAGAAUUAGCAUGGGUGUGUGGGACUCCUUGCAUGAGACAUUAAUUCAGCUGCUUGAGAAAAUAAAAGGGUCUUUGGAAGGGAGGAUUCCUGGAGGUGAACGAUUCCCAGCUGUAAUCUACUGACGUAUACCUCCAUCUCAAACACCUACUCUGAAUACAGAGCCCGAUAUAUGAGAGAAAAGGACAAGAUUGCAGGUGCUGACUUUCCUUGCUUUCUGAACAUAUGUUAAGCCCAAUCAUUAUUCUUUUUUAAAUCCGUUUUGUUGAGAUUAUCUAUCUAAUCUACCCAUAAGGAGUGAAAUUAGAAGCGAUGUGCUAAUAGCCCGUAAGCACCUAUCUGUAAACAUUUGUACAAGUUAUUGUGCUCAGUUGUUAUACCAGAUGGAAAAAGCCUUUUUUUGUCUUUGUGUUGACACAGUCAUUCUGAACAAUGAGAUUACAUUCAACAAAAGCAUGUAAAGCGAAUCUCAGGCUUUUAAAUAAGAUUUGUCAAGAAUAUGGCAUUACAUGCAUCCCUUGAAUGCAACACUGAAUUAAAAUGAAUCCUGUUUUUAAAAUAGAUAAUGCAAGCCUUAAUGUCCUGGGAGGAUUGAAAAAAAAAAAAUUGUGCAGUCGAGUCAGCUGAGCAAGCACUUCUUCUGAAACAAGAACAUGAAUGAAAUCUUAAUGCUGUGAAAAGACAAAGGUCACCUGGCAAAAGUGUAUUCUUCAACAAAAGCUUUCAUGGUGGAGCAGAAGAAUCUAUGGCACUGAUGAUUGAGAAGAAAUCAUUCUGUGCAAGCUGUCAUCAUUGCAUUCAUUGUGCUACUUCUUUGAUCAUCCUUUAGAAGUGAUCUUUGGCAGCCCGGAAGACAAUCUACUUUGGUGAUGAGACCUGAAAGAAGUGCGUAUGUUCUAAGGAAAUCUCAAAGGAGUCACUGACUCCAAAGUCCCUUAGUGCUUUGGUCACAG
ensembl:lncRNA